CUUACUCAACACCCAUGAAGCAUCAUUUAUAGUCAAAAAUGUUCAGAGUCUCAAGUCACUAUACAGAUACAGAAUUCAAUCUCUUGUUUGAUACCCAAAGCCAGAUGUUUUCAACCUUCAAUGACAGACCUCACCACCUGAAGCAGGUGUAUUCCAGCCCCAAGCAGCUUUGUUAAGCCAAAAUCUGUCUCUCUGCAAUAGUUGUCAUGA
rnacentral:lncRNA from 1 species